rnacentral:rRNA from 1 species
AUGACUGGAAUGUUUUGGAAUUGCAGAGGAGUAGGAAAAAAAGGAAUGACUACCUGCUUCUUUGAUUUAAUAAGAGAUCAUUCCCUUGACUUUAUAGGUCUGCAAGAAACUAUGAAGAAAAAAUUCUCUCCUAAAUUCCUAAGAAAGGUGGACCCCUUGGAUAGAUACAUCUGGAACUGGACCCCUUCUAUUGGCAAAUCAGGUGGUAUCAUAUGUGGUAUCAAGAAAGAAAAUCUUGACAUUAUAUCCUGGGUACUUGGAAGCUUCCUUAUUCAAGCUAACAUAUAUGAUAUUAAAAAAUGUGCGUCUGGGCUCUCGUAG